rnacentral:rRNA from 1 species
AGUGAACGCUGGCGGCAGGCCUAACACAUGCAAGUCGAACGGCAACACAGUAAGCUCUUUCUCUUACGGUUGGCGAGUGGCGGACGGGUGAGGAAUACAUCGGCAUCUUCUUUUUCUUGGGUGAUUACGUAGGGCAACUUACGCUACUACCUCAUACGUCCUACGGGUUAAAUCAGUGGAUCUUCGGACCUUUCGUGUUUCUAUGAGCUGAUGUCGGAUUAGCUAGUUGGCGGGGUAAAGUCCCACCAAGGCGACGAUCCGUAGCUGGUCUGAGAGGAUGAUCAGCCACACUGGAACUGAGACACGGUCCAGACUCCUACGGGAGGCAGCAGUGGGGAAUAUUGGACAAUGGGCGCAAGCCUGAUCCAGCCAUACCGCGUGGGUGAAGAAGGCCUUCGGGUUGUAAAGCCCUUUUGUUGGGAAAGAAAAGCAGCAGGUUAAUACCCCGCUGUUCUGACGGUACCCAAAGAAUAAGCACCGGCUAACUUCGUG